UACUUAUUCCUAAAGCAGGCCAAAAUUUAGAUUCUAAUUAAACAAGCAGAUGUUAAUAUAACUAAUUUAGAAAAAGACUUAAUUAAUUAGGACAACACAAUAAACAAUUAAUCAAAUUUUAAGAAAGCAAAAGUUCUUUGAAUUUACAAAUCUUGACUAGCCAUCAUGCUUCAAGACUAAAAACAGAUACUUUUAACAAAUUUGAAUCUUGACCAAACGGAAUUCAAACAUACACAACUUAACUAAAUUAAUAAUUUUUUAAAUCAUAAGACAAAAAUUAGAUAAAAAGAAAUUAGUCCCAAGUAAAAUCUAAACUAAGUGACAGAAAAGAGAUGAUCAAUUAUGUGCUCUACCUAAAUUAAACAGGGAUAAUAGAAAAACAAAAAAACGAGAAGAAGAAAAGGAACGUUGGAAAGGAAGAAGAGUGUACUAUUUAUGAACCAAGAAAACAUGAGAGAAAUCAGCGAUUGCCGGUAACUUUGGACGGAAUUCCAACACCUUCAAAAUGAACUAAGACUAAUGCUAAUCGAUUGUUCUCAAUGAGAUAUAUAUAUAUAUAUGCAUAACUAACAUGAGCAAUAUUCAUGAAUCUCCACUCAAAAGUGCUCAACCACACGAUACUGUAUAUGACCAUCCGGCCCAGGGAAAAUUCAUCCCAGAAUAUAUAUCACUGACCGUAGUCAUCCAGUCCCAAGGACACAGUCCAAUCUAGCCUCACAGAGAAGAUCUAUCUUCCACUAUAAUACUUCGGUCAAGAUCCAUGCCCAAGGAAGAUACAUUUCUCAAUAUCAUCAACUAUGCUCACUGGGGUGUAAAGACUCCAGAGGGGCUUCUCUUAUUAGCCUAAACUCUAUAACAAAGCCAACGAAGGCUUUUUCAAUAUCUCGCUACGGCGUGCAGCCCGACCCUAUGCAGCUACUCAAUAUCAGGCUCUCAGCCUUAGUCAGUCAUAACUCACCAGUCUUACACACACGGGCUCAAAUUUCAUGAUAAUAGCUUGGAUAAUAACAUGAGGUAUCAAAUAUCAAUAACCGAGAUUGAGACACGAUAUAAUAUAUAUAUGAAUAGGACUGAGUACAGAAUUCAACAAAACAAAUGAUAUGACAGCAAAAAAUGACCUCUUGGGUCUCAAUAAUAUUGGCGUGAGCCCUUCACAUGAAAAUUAUCAUGAUUCAUGGCUCAUCAACUAAAUCACAUACUUACAACAUAAGUAUCGGUAUAAAAUAACCACUAAGCGGUGCUCUCGAAUGAUCCAGGCCGUGUUUCUCACAGUGCACGCCCACAUGCCCGUCACUUGGCAUUGCGUCACCUCUAUAAUAAUCAUUGAACACAUAGUUCAGGGUUUCUUACCCUAAGAACCAAGAUUGGAAGCGUUACUUACCUCAUUUCAAGCCAAACUCUAGCUCGUGACGUACUUUCCUCUCAAUUAGGCUUCCAAAUGCCUCAAAUCUAACAAAAAUCAGCUUAUAACCAUCAAAAGACGCAAAAGGAGUGAAACCCAUACGAAAUUAAUCAAAUUAAAUUCCAAAUCUCGAAAUUAACCAAACUCAAACCUCGGGCCCACAUUUGGGAAUCCGCAAAAAUUACAUCAAUAGAAUCCUCAACAUCUCACGAGUUCAUACAUAUCAAAUAUACCAACAUCCAACAAUAAAUGACCCCUCAAAUCCCUAAAUUCAGUUUUCCAAUUCCCAAACCCUAAAAUCCAAUUUUUUUGCUACUGAUUUUCCCGUAGAUUUUACACUUCCAAUGUCAAAAAUCAUCAUAUAUACAAGUUUAGGGACCAAAAACGUUACCUCUACGAAACCCUUUUGAAUACUCCCUUGAAUUUGCUCUCCCAAGCUUUUUCCCGUUUGAGAAGUGAUGGAAAAUAACCCAAAUUCGCGAAGGGCAAAAUAUAUAUGUUCUGCCCCAGUAGAAUCGUAUCUGCGUUCACAAUGCUCACACCUGCGGAACCCACUUAACAACACCUGCGAUUGAAAUCUUGUACCUGCGCUAGAUAAUCUCCAUCUGCUGGUCCAACCAUUUAUCCCCUAGGCCGCAUCUACGUUUCCCCUUUCACUUAUGCGGGUCCACACCUGUGGUGCCCAAGCCAUAGGUUCGGUUAUGACAUGAGCUUUAGCACUUCAGCUACUAAUUCCAAUUUAAAACCUCCCGUCAACCGUCAAAAAUUACUCUGAGGCCCCUGGGAGCUCAACCAAAAGUACGAACAAGUCAUAUACCAUAUUCUAAACUUAUAUCAAUCUUCGAAACACCUAAAACAAUAUCGAAACACCAAAUCAACCACGAAUAUUCAAGCCUAAGAACUCCAAAACUUCUAAAUUCCGCUUUUGAUCAAAAAGUCUAUCAAAACUCGCCUGAGUGACCUGAAAUUUUACACACACGUGACAUAUGACACAACAAACCUACUGCAACUUCUGAAAUUCCAUCCUGAUCCCUAUAUCAAAAUUUUCACUACCAACCGGAAAAUACCAAAAUUCCAAUUUUGUCAAUUCAAGCCUAAAUCUACUCUGCACCUCGAAAACUAAUUUCGAUGACGCUCCUAAGUCCUAAAUCACCUCCCUAAACUUGUCGAAUCAUAAAAACUAAAUUUCAAGAUCGUUUGCUCACAAAUCAACUUCCGGUUGACUUUUUCAACUGUAAGACGAAUUUAAGAGACUAAGUGUCUCAAACCUUUCAAAAACCCAUUCCAAAUUCAAACCGAACAACCUGAUACCAUAUGACAUAGAUGAACAAACCAUAUAGAAGCAGAAAUGGAGAAAACGGGACGAUAAAUCAUGUAACGACCGGUCGAGUUGUUACAUCAACUUCAUAAAUCAUUUCAAUUACAAUUACAUGUCAAAAUUUCAUAUUAUAGGCCUAAACAUCAAAGAAAAUCAAUUGAGAAAAAUGUAGAAUGAUUUCAAACACCUCUGAUGGUCGAGUUUUGCCUUCACAAAUUUAGCCAUCUUAGUAGUCACCUCUAUAAAUGACAGCUAUGUUUAUUGUAGCAAUAACCUUCCCAUGUCAUGGCUUUACUACCAAAACAACUUAGUAUAGCAUUAGGAAUAUAUUUGAAUUGGAAUCAUGCUCAAAAUAGCUCGGUAUAUUAGAACAUGAUCUAAUAUAUAUAACAUAUGUUUUAUAGAAGUUGAAGGGCAUAUUUCAAUUUCAAUCCCUUAAACUUUUACAACCUUUCACAUGAAAUCUAAAGUACCACAUCACAAAAGACACAUAAAUGCCUGAGAAAUCACUGAAGAACACUUGAUUAUGUCCAAUUCAAACAUGUGAGUUCAUAUAUGUGUACCUUAACAUCAGAAUAGGCAACAAAAAGAAAAUAGGUCUCUGAAAAUAGGGAAGAAGGAAACAACAAAAAUACAGCAGCAAAAAACCAAAACACAACAGCUUUACACCUCAAAUCAUAAAUCAUGGCAACAUGGAGUAAACCAGCAAAAAUGGAGAUGAAAAGCUGUAUGGAAACCUCUCUUUUCAUUUGUUUUCUAUUUUCUAUUUUUAUCUUACAAACCCAGAAGAAUAAAAGACUCAGAAUGAAAAUGGCGAAACCAGUCUCUUAAUUUCUCAUGUUUUUAUCGUACUUUUUAUUCUUCUAACAAUGUAAAGAUUAAUGUAUUUUAUAGAAGAGAAAAAUGCAAAUAUUUUUGGCGUCCCCUUAAUGAGUGUGUGAGUAAGUCUCAUAUAGUGUGCGUGUGUUCUAAGCGAUUGGGAAUCAUCUUGGGAAGGUACAAGCCCUAAAAAUAAGGAAAAGAGCAUUUUUCUUUAACUAAUUUGUGUACAGCUAUCCCUUUUUGUCAGAUAUUUUUAUUUUUUUCAACUUCUUUAUUAAGAAACUGGGACAACUGUCACUAUUCGAGAAGCUUCUUUUAUUUUUCCAUUUUUAAAAUUCUGUAUUUUACUGUUUUUAUUACUCCAAGUUUAUCUAAAUGCACUUCAGGCCUUUUUCUAGAAGCUUCCCAUAUCACCAACUCAGAUUCCCUAAUUUUGGUGUAUUCUUUGGUCCCCUCAAUUUCUUGUAAUUGUUACUUAUUCCUAAAGCAGGCCAAAAUUUAGAUUCUAAUUAAACAAGCAGAUGUUAAUAUAACUAAUUUAGAAAAAGACUUAAUUAAUUAGGACAACACAAUAAACAAUUAAUCAAAUUUUAAGAAAGCAAAAGUUCUUUGAAUUUACAAAUCUUGACUAGCCAUCAUGCUUCAAGACUAAAAACAGAUACUUUUAACAAAUUUGAAUCUUGACCAAACGGAAUUCAAACAUACACAACUUAACUAAAUUAAUAAUUUUUUAAAUCAUAAGACAAAAAUUAGAUAAAAAGAAAUUAGUCCCAAGUAAAAUCUAAACUAAGUGACAGAAAAGAGAUGAUCAAUUAUGUGCUCUACCUAAAUUAAACAGGGAUAAUAGAAAAACAAAAAAACGAGAAGAAGAAAAGGAACGUUGGAAAGGAAGAAGAGUGUACUAUUUAUGAACCAAGAAAACAUGAGAGAAAUCAGCGAUUGCCGGUAACUUUGGACGGAAUUCCAACACCUUCAAAAUGAACUAAGACUAAUGCUAAUCGAUUGUUCUCAAUGAGCACAAUCGUUUAAUGCAAGUCUCAUGUCAAAUCGAGUCUUGAAACAAUUAAAAUCAAAAAAAGGAGCGAAAUAAGGUUUUGAAUAUUUACAAGAUUUACAAGACGAUGAGUUCUAUUGGUUUUUUUGGGGAAAUAGAUAAGGGAUUCACAUAUAGGAGAUGAUGGGGAUUGUAUGGUAAAAAUUUAAGGUGGUUUGGAGUGGGGCCGCUGCCUAGGGCGACUUUCGGCAGCGGUAGUGGACUGAGGUUUGAGAGAAGAGAUAUGGGAGGUGGAUGGGGAAAUAAGGUUGGUUCUCUAGGGUUGGGGGGGAUUUUGAACAGGUUUAAGUGGGAAGGGGCUUCAGCUCACAGCCGUCUGAUCUAGAUCAAACAAAUGCACAUGAUCAAUAAUGAUCAAAUGCUGUCGUUUGGCUUAAAUGGUGGGGCUGGACCGGAUUUUGGUAAAG
rnacentral:lncRNA from 1 species